rnacentral:lncRNA from 1 species
UCUGAACACGUUGAAACAUUUAGCACAUCAUAUUUUAUAAAUAGUUUCACUGGUGUUCAAAAACUUCUUUUCUUUCCCCCUUUCUUCGUAGUUUGCAUCUACAGUUGAUUAAUUACUUAUUUGAAUCUUGCAACUAGAACUUGGGCGGAAGACGAGGCUAAAAGAGCUAGAGAGCAAGCAAAAGCCCUGGAAGAGGUUAGAGACCGCUGGCAGAAGCAAGGCAUCAAGGUGGUAGUUGACACUGACCUGCAAGAAGAAGCCAACGAGGCUAAAAAAGCUAGAGAGCAAGCAAAAGCCCUGGAAGAGGCUAGAGACCGCUGGCAGAAGCAAGGCAUCAAGGUGGUAGUUGACAAUGACCUGCAAGAAGAAGCCAAUGCUGGAGUUACUUGGGUGAAUGCUGGAAAUCAGUCUGUUGAGUCGACUGUUAAUAGAGCUGAAACAUCGGUGGACAAGCUCAAGGAAAUGGCUGCUACUGUCGGAGGGAAAUCAAGAGAGAC